GAGGAGACAACUCCUAAUAUUCACUGAGUCUAUCAGCAAGAACAUAAACUACCAAAAGCUCCAGAAUCUGGUUUUGGACUCUCAGCUUGGCAUUAACUCCCAGACAUCUCUGAUGCUGAGCGUGUGGUGUACGUGCACAGCUGUACGAGCAAUGGGGAGUGCAUGGCUGCAAAACUGCAUUCUGCUCUCAGAGUAGGAAGAAUGAAAGAAUGAAACAUGUCAGAUGUCCAUCACGACACAAAGCACUGCUGGAAGGAAUACGGAUAACACAGCAAGGAAAGUAAUAUAGAAGAGGAGCAGAUUAGCAUCAAUAUUUUCCAUUUAAAGAAAAAAUAAAGCUUUCAGCUGCACUUUGGUUUAUU
ensembl:lncRNA